GUAGCUGCAGCUGCGCAUUGCACCCCCAGCUACGCAGUCUCCUUUCCUUCUCAGUCACAGGACCGGAUGGCAAGUGGCCGCAGCCAGUCGGUGAGACCGACUGAGCUCUGGGGCUUCAGUUCUUGACGCUACCUACAUGGCUACAUCUCCAGCCAAGGAUGAGAGGAUGCAGAAAUAAUAUUUGUGUUGUUUUAAAAAUCUUAGAUCAAUUAAAAAGAAAAAUGACUCUGUCAUUCUUUGUUUGUGAAUAGCACAAUGGAAGAAGCUGGACUUUGUGGGUUAAGAGAGAAAGCAGAUAUGUUGUGUAACUCUGAAUCACAUGAUAUUCUUCAACAUCAAGACUCAAAUUGCAGUGCCACAAGUAAUAAACAUUUAUUGGAAGAUGAAGAAGGCCGUGACUUUAUAACAAAGAACAGGAGUUGGGUGAGCCCAGUGCACUGCACACAAGAGUCAAGAAGGGAGCUUCCUGAGCAAGAAGUAGCCCCUCCGUCUGGUCAGCAAGCUUUACAAUGCAACAGGAACAAAGAAAAAGUCUUAGAGAGACAAGGUCUUUCCCUGUCACCCAGGCUGGAGCGCGGUGGUACAUUCAUGGGUCAUGGCAGCCUUAAACUCCCUGAGCUCGUGAUCCUGUCUCUUCAGACUCUAGAGUAGCUGGGGCUACAGGCGUACACCACCACACAUGGCUAAUUUUUUAUUUUUCUUUUGUUGUAGAGAUGGGCUGUCAUUCUCUUGCCCAGGCUGGUCUUGGUAUACUGUCCUGUAGCAGUAUAUUUUGGCUACCUGUACUGGCAUUGGCUUUUCCAAGUGUCAAGAUUACAGGUGUGAGCUAGUAUACCCUGCCCAGUGUUUCUUUCUUACUUGGCUUUGGUGUGAAUGAGAAAAGAAUUUAGUACUAAAAUUUUAUGUGCAUACAGAAGCAUUAUUUGAAGUCAGCCUGUUUUCCCUCAACCUCUAGUACUCUGUAAAGUAUACCAAAAGUCAAGGUUUUAAAGAACUGUGUUACAUAUUAGAGAGAACAAAUCAAAAGUUACCUAUCUCCAUCGUUACCAGUAGAACAUUAGUAUGUAUUUUGAAGCACCAUUUGACUCUUUCUAUUUCAGCUACUUGCUUGUCCCUUGCAAAGUUAUUAUAGUACUCUUUUAAAACUUUUCUUCAAGGGAAGAGCUAUUUUGACUUCCUUUUCUUUGAUCUAAACCUAACACCCAGAAUAUGCUUAGCAGAUCAUCCCAAAACAAUCAUAACUUGUUUAAAUUGUUCAUAGCAAAAGUUACAUAUUAUAAAGAGUUAUGAGUGUCUUAGGCAGUGAAUAGUAACUGAAUAUCCUUUUAUAGUUGUCCUUCACUAGCAGGAAGCCUUAUUCCCUGCCCUUUUACAUAUCUUAACUUAGAAUGUUACUGUCUAAAUAGUGGUUAGGCAAGAGUAGUUCUUAAACGUGCAGUAAUUAUCUUGCACUACAUUUAAGGGCUAAAUAGCUAGUAGUGGUGCUUGAUAAUUGAAGAAAUUUGUACAGCUGGAGGAAGUACCUGCUAAAUUUUCAAAAGUUACCUGAAUUUAAUAGGUAAAUCUGUUUUUAAUUAGAGCUAUAUCAUUUUACUCUGAAUGUCUUAACAUAGAAGUUUACAUAAAAUUUACAGAUUGGAUUGAUUUCAGCCUUCUUCUGGUACUUUUUAAAAUCUUAUUAAUCAUUAGGAAAAGAAGUUUUAUUAUUGAUGCAAGCCCUAAACACUCUUUCGACUCCAGAGGAGAAGCUGGCAGCUCUCUGUAAGAAAUAUGCUGAUCUUGUGAGUAUUUAUUUAAUGGAGCAAGGAACACAGAAAAUAAAAUCUAUGUGUGCUUGAUAAGAUUUUUAAAUAUUAUUUUGAUGUAACUUUAAAUGUAAAAUGAUAUUUUAUCUCAAAAUUGAAAACAAUCUCCUUUCUUUAGUACUUAUGAUUGGUGUGUGUGACUUCAUCUUAUGAAAUGAUGUAUAGAACAUAAUAAUACUUUUUUAAAUGUGAAAUAAAUUUCCUAAAACUUAA
ensembl:lncRNA TXLNGY taxilin gamma Y-linked (pseudogene)